rnacentral:rRNA from 1 species
AGAGUAAAAUAGUACGUGAAAUUGUUGAAAGGGAAACGAUUGAAGUCAGUCGUACCGACGAGAAAUCAACUUAUCGUGUGUGAACUUGUGGGCGUGCGUGAGUUUCGGCCUCGCUGUUUGCAUGUUUGUGCGCUUUGGGUGUACUUUUUCGUAUGGUAGGCCAACGUCAGUUUCGAUCACUAUAAAAUGACCGGCGGAAUGUAGCUUCGAUUUCGGUUGAAGUGUUAUAGCCUCUGGUAGAUGUGGUGAUUGGGACUGAGGAUUGCAACGAAUACCUUUUGGGCUAUCCGUCUGGCCUCUGAAAGUUGCUUAGGUGCCGAAAGCUUGCUUACGGUCAUCGAAGUUGACGGUCAAUAGGUUAGAACGUGAUUACAUUCGUUAAGGACAUUGGCGUAAUGGCUUUAAACGACC